GACGAACGCUGGCGGCGUGCCUAAUACAUGCAAGUAGGACGCAGUUGCGAACGGGUGAGUAACGCGUAGGUAACUACCUAUUAGAGGGGGAUAACAAUUGGAAACGAUAGCUAAUACCGCAUACUAGUAGAUGGACCUGCGUUGUAUUAGCUAGUAGGUAGGGUAAUGGCCUACCUAGGUAACGAUACAUAGGCGACCUGGAAGGGUGAACGGGCAAAAUGGGACUGGAGCACGGGCCAGACUCCUACGGGGUGGAGGAGUAGGGAAACUUCGGAAAAUGGGGGAACCCUGACCGAGCAACGCCGCGGGAGUGGAGAAGGUUUUCGGAUCGUAAAGCUCUGUUGUUAAGGAAGCGGUACUUGACCAGGAAGUGACGGCUAACUACGUGCCAGCCGCCGCGGUAAUAC
rnacentral:rRNA from 1 species